UCCUAGGAGGUCCCCUGGGCUACCCAGUCCCUCCCAGUGUCUCCCAGCACCUUCCAAUUCCCUCCUAGGGGGUCCUCUGGGCCACCCAGAAUCUCCCAGUGCCUCCCAGUUCCCUCCCAGUUCCCCCCUAGGGGGUCCUCUAGGCCACCCAGCACCUCCCAGUGCCUCCCAGUUCCCUCCUAGUGCCUCCCAGUUCCCUGCCAGUGCCUCCCAGUUUCCUUCCAGUGCCUCCAAGUUCCUUCCUAGGAGGUCCCCUGGGCCACCCAGAACCUCUCAGUGCAUCCCAGUGCCUCCCAGUUCCCUCUCAGUACCUCCCAGUUCCCUCCUAGGGGGUCCUCUGGGCCACCCAGCACCUCCCAGUUCCCUCCCAGCUCUCUCUUUCCCUCCCCAGUGCUCCCAGUGACCCAAUGUCUCCCACCCACUGCCUAUUAAUGUCUCCCAGUUCCCUCCCAGUGCCUCCCAGUUCCCUCCCAGUUCCCUCCUAGGAGGUCUCCUGGGCCACCCAGCAACUCCUCGUGUCACCCCCGUGUCCUCCCAGCUCUACCAGUUCCCUCCCAGUGCUCCCAGUGACCUACCGCUUCCCACCCACUGCCUAUCAGUGUCUCCCAGUGCCCUCCCAGUGCCUCCCAGUUCUUUCCCAACACUGCCUCAUUACCCCUCGGUGGCCCCCAGUGCCUCCCUGCCUCACACCAUUUCCUCCUGCUGCCUGACAAGUCUUCCCGGUAGCCUCCAGUUCCCUCCCAGUGCCCCCAGUUCCCCCCCAGGUACACUGUCAGCACCUCCCAGUUUCCUCCCAGUACCCCUCAGUGUCUCCCUGGUGCCUCCCAGUGCUUUUCCAUUCCUUCCCAUGUGCUCCCAGUGCCCCCAGUUCAUCUCCAGCUCCUUCCCAGUACCCUCCCUGCAACCUUCUCAUUCCCUUCUACACGCCACCAGUGCUCCCAGUGCUUCCCAGUGCCUACCUUGUGGCGUCCCCCAGUAUCUUCUCUCACCCUCUUACCUGCACCAGUACACUCCCACUGCCUCCCAGUGCCUCCAGUUCACCCACAGCUCCCUCCCAGUACCAGUUCCAUGCUGUCUUUUGCCUCCCAGUGCUUCCUCCUUCCUUCCCACUCACACCAGUAUGCUCCCACUGCCUCCCAGUGUCCCCAGUUCACCUGCAGCUCCUUCCCAGGACUCCCCAGUGCCUCCUGAGGCCUCCCAGUACCUUCCACUUGCU
rnacentral:lncRNA from 1 species